rnacentral:rRNA from 1 species
GGGGAAUAUUGCACAAUGGGCGAAAGCCUGAUGCAGCAACGCCGCGUGAGUGAAGAAGGUUUUCGGAUCGUAAAACUCUGUUGUUAGAGAAGAACAAGGAUGAGAAGAGAAUGUUCAUCCCUUGACGGUAUCUAACCAGAAAGCCACGGCUAACUACGUGCCAGCAGCCGCGGUAAUACGUAGGUGGCAAGCGUUGUCCGGAUUUAUUGGGCGUAAAGCGAGCGCAGGCGGUUCUUUAAGUCUGAUGUGAAAGCCCCCGGCUUAACCGGGGAGGGUCAUUGGAAACUGGGGAACUUGAGUGCAGAAGAGGAGAGUGGAAUUCCAUGUGUAGCGGUGAAAUGCGUAGAUAUAUGGAGGAACACCAGUGGCGAAGGCGGCUCUCUGGUCUGUAACUGACGCUGAGGCUCGAAAGCGUGGGGAGCAAAC